rnacentral:rRNA from 1 species
UUGAGCAGUGAUGUUUAGAGUUUGAUCCUGGCUCAGGACGAACGCUGGCGGCGUGCUUAACACAUGCAAGUCGAACGCUGAAACCAGAGCUUGCUUUGGUGGAUGAGUGGCGAACGGGUGAGUAACACGUGGGUGAUCUGCCCUACACUUUGGGAUAAGCCUGGGAAACUGGGUCUAAUACCGAAUAUUCACACCACCGUAGGGGUGGUGUGGAAAGCUUUAUGCGGUGUGGGAUGAGCCUGCGGCCUAUCAGCUUGUUGGUGGGGUAAUGGCCUACCAAGGCGUCGACGGGUAGCCGGCCUGAGAGGGUGUACGGCCACAUUGGGACUGAGACACGGCCCAGACUCCUACGGGAGGCAGCAGUGGGGAAUAUUGCACAAUGGGCGCAAGCCUGAUGCAGCGACGCCGCGUGGGGGAUGACGGCCUUCGGGUUGUAAACUCCUUUCGCUAGGGACGAAGCCUUAUGGUGACGGUACCUGGAGAAGAAGCACCGGCUAACUACGUGCCAGCAGCCGCGGUAAUACGUAGGGUGCGAGCGUUGUCCGGAAUUACUGGGCGUAAAGAGCUCGUAGGUGGUUUGUCGCGUCGUCUGUGAAAUCCCGGGGCUUAACUUCGGGCGUGCAGGCGAUACGGGCAUAACUUGAGUGCUGUAGGGGAGACUGGAAUUCCUGGUGUAGCGGUGAAAUGCGCAGAUAUCAGGAGGAAUACCGAUGGCGAAGGCAGCCAUCUGGCCUAAUACUGACACUGAGGUGCGAAAGCAUGGGGAGCAAACAGGAUUAGAUACCCUGGUAGUCCAUGCCGUAAACGAUGUCUACUAGCCGUUGGGGGAUUUGAUCCUUUAGUGGCGCAGCUAACGCGAUAAGUAGACCGCCUGGGGAGUACGGUCGCAAGACUAAAACUCAAAUGAAUUGACGGGGGCCCGCACAAGCGGUGGAGCAUGUGGUUUAAUUCGAUGCAACGCGAAAACCUUACCUGGCCUUGACAUAGUAGAGACUUUCCAGAGAUGGAUUGUGCCUUCGGGAUCUACAUACAGGUGCUGCAUGGCUGUCGUCAGCUCGUGUCGUGAGAUGUGGGUAGUCCCGCACGAGCGCAACCCUUUCCUUACUUACAGCAUUCGGAUGGAACC